CAGGCAAGGUUUUGUCCCAGGCACUUUAUGAAGAGCGUGUUGUGCUUUGCCAGGUGCUUAAAGAUGACAUUACAAAUGGGUAUGCUGAGGAGGAGGGCAUGGUGCAAAAUCAGGUUCUUGUGACUUUUAACGAUAAGCCCGUUAAGGGGCUAAAGAGCUUGGUUAGUAUGGUAGACAGUUGUGAUGAGGAAUUCUUGAAGUUCUCUCUUCAAAACCACAAAAUUUUGGUAUUGCCGGCGAAUAUUGCCAGAGCAAGAACUCCGGAUAUUCUUAAAGCACACUGUAUACCUUGUACUAUGUCUUUGGAGUAAAUGAAGUUGACUCGAGGGAAAGAAAGUCUCGUAGAUCAUGUGAGAUUGUAAAUGGAUGUGAGUGAGCCAGAAUUUCUAUUUCUUGUUUUUAACCUUCUUCACUUCUCAAAUUGUAUGGAGGGAAAGGAAUCGACUUUUUUCACUUAA